AGCCGCGGUAAUACGAAGGGCGCAAGCGUUGUUCGGAAUCACUGGGCGUAAAGCGCGUGUAGGCGGCCAGGCAAGUCGGGUGUGAAAUCCCGGGGCUCAACCUCGGAACUGCCCUUGAAACUGCAGCGCUAGAAUCUUGGAGAGGCGAGUGGAAUUCCGAGUGUAGAGGUGAAAUUCGUAGAUAUUCGGAAGAACACCAGUGGCGAAGGCGACUCGCUGGACAAGUAUUGACGCUGAGGUGCGAAAGCGUGGGGAGCAAACA
rnacentral:rRNA from 1 species